ensembl:lncRNA
GGGUUGGGAAGAUCCCCCGGAGGAGGGCUUGGCAACCCACUCCAUAUUCUUGCCUGGAGAAUCCCAUGGACGGAGGAGCCUGGUGGGCUACAGUCCAUAGGGUCGCAGAGAGUUGGAUAUGACUGAAGGGACUGAGCAUGCACGCACUGUUUUAACAAGUGCAGGGACAGUUUUUCUUUAACAUCCUGGAAUAAGAAGUUUUAAUGAUGAAUGGUAAUCAUGGGAGAUGAAGGUGAAGAGAAAGGAAUUCAUAGGGCCUGGACUCCAUCUUAGGCCUGUUCAUGCUGAUCACGCUUGGCCACCUCUCCGAUGGACUCUGAACUCUGUGUUUAGUGCCUAUGAAAACAACAACAGAAGGAUAUGACCCCCUCCAGCCCGGAGAACCUUGAAGAUCGUAUCUAGGUUACUCAUCGUCUAAGAGAAAACAUACACUAAUCACCCCUUCCUCCAGAGAGACCAUAAAUUUUUCUGUAUCUAUUGGAGUGUAACCUCGGGUUUAUUGAUUAUUGGCUAAUUGUUUGAGCACAUGAGCACAUAGCACGUGAAUGAUGGGGUUAUUGGGAUUGUAUUUUCCUUGGUUUAUGUAUCUCAAGGAAUUUGGAG